AGGCUAUUUAAUUUGGAUGUGUACAUGUAAUUUGGGUGAAAGAGUAAGUGAUAAGUUCUUAUAUGAUAUCCUUAUUUAAGCUGGACGGGUAGUUGACUCGCACAUGGGUAUACUUUUUAUGCAACUAAGUCCGUCUAAAAGUCUAAGAUUCGGAUUUUUCUUACUUUUUAGUUUCUUUGUGCUCUUAAUACUCAAGACUCUUUGGCUUAGUUAUAUGUCAAAGACAUAUGUUGAUAGUAGACACGAAGUGGAUGACGCUUUGCAGUCUGAAUUAAGUAUAAUGCUUCAGUUCAUUCAUUCACUGACUCGACACUUCUAAUGGGGUUUUCUAAUUACAGGAAGUUAAAAAUCUUGACACUUCUAAAACUUUGUCUAGCAUUGGUCCAACUUAUGCUAUCUUGAAGUUUAUGGAAUGUGAGUGGUUACUUGUAUUGCAGCUCUCUUUUUUAAAUGUUUUACACCUCCGUGUGAUCUUUUGUUUUUAUUUUAUGUAAGUUACUUAGAUGUAUUGUUGAUGUUUGGGGCAUACAACAUGACAUUUAGCCCGUUUGACCCAUUCACUUAGGCUUUAGUAAAGACAUUGGCUACUGAGGAGUUAUUUUAGCAUUGAUGCUCCAAGUCACGAACAUGCGCAACCACUUCCUG